UGGGGAAUAUUGCACAAUGGGGGAAACCCUGAUGCAGCGACACCGCGUGAGCGAAGAAGUAUUUCGGUAUGUAAAGCUCUAUCAGCAGGGAAGAAAUUGACGGUACCUGAGUAAGAAGCUCCGGCUAAAUACGUGCC
rnacentral:rRNA from 1 species